rnacentral:rRNA from 1 species
UACGGAGGGGGCUAGCGUUAUUCGGAAUUACUGGGCGUAAAGCGUGCGCAGGCGGUUGUGUAAGACAGGUGUGAAAUCCCCGGGCUUAACCUGGGAACUGCGCUUGUGACUGCACGACUCGAGUGUGGCAGAGGGGGGUGGAAUUCCACGUGUAGCAGUGAAAUGCGUAGAGAUGUGGAGGAACACCGAUGGCGAAGGCAGCCCCCUGGGUUAACACUGACGCUCAUGCACGAAAGCGUGGGUAGCAAACAGG